rnacentral:rRNA from 1 species
CACGUAGGGCGCAAGCGUUGUCCGGAAUUAUUGGGCGUAAAGAGCUCGUAGGCGGUCCGUCACGUCCGCUGUGAAAACCCAGGGCUCAACCCUGGGCUUGCAGUGGAUACGGGCAGACUAGAGGUAGGUAGGGGAGAAUGGAAUUCCCGGUGUAGCGGUGAAAUGCGCAGAUAUCGGGAGGAACACCGGUGGCGAAGGCGGCUACCUGGACAGAGUCUGACGCUGAGGCACGAAAGCUAGGGGAGCAAACAGG